GAUGAACGCUGGCGGCGUGCCUAAUACAUGCAAGUCGAGCGAACAGACGAGGAGCUUGCUCCUCUGACGUUAGCGGCGGACGGGUGAGUAACACGUGGAUAACCUACCUAUAAGACUGGGAUAACUUCGGGAGACCGGAGCUAAUACCGGAUAAUAUAUUGAACCGCAUGGUUCAAUAGUGAAAGACGGUUUUGCUGUCACUUAUAGAUGGAUCCGCGCCGCAUUAGCUAGUUGGUAAGGUAACGGCUUACCAAGGCAACGAUGCGUGCCGACCUGAGAGGGUGAUCGGCCACACUGGAACUGAGACACGGUCCAGACUCCUGCGGGAGGCAGCAGUAGGGAAUCUUCCGCAAUGGGCGAAAGCCUGACGGAGCAACGCCGCGUGAGUGAUGAAGGUCUUCGGAUCGUAAAACUCUGUUAUUAGGGAAGAACAAAUGUGUAAGUAACUAUGCACGUCUUGACGGUACCUAAUCAGAAAGCCACGGCUAACUACGUG
rnacentral:rRNA from 1 species